GGAGUGUAGAGUGACUGUGAUGUGGUGGAGAGAACAUGACAGACUGUGACAUCACCAUUCCAUUUUCAAAAGAUAUCCUAGUAUGGUGGAUAGCCUGCCACUAAUUAAUGCAACCCAAUUAAUGGGUUAAUAUUUCAUGGCCCAUGAUGAUGGCUGGCUAAUAAGCUGAUUUAGGUUCCCAAGAGCCAUGCUCUUGGAUUCAUGUGCUGAACUGGGUCCACCUUUAGACAGAACGACCCGAUGGAAUCGUGCCACUGUAGGAGACCAGGCCAUCAUCAAAACGCAAUUUGCAGCAAAUUGUCCCUUUGUGUUUGAAGGACAGCGUCUGUCAGGACACAACCACUGACGGGGGCUCUGUGCGCAUGAUGCACACAGGACGCAUUGGAGAUACCACUGGGGCAAGCCACACUCUCUCCAGCUUCAGCCUCCUCACCAGGCACCUCCUCACCACCAACUGCACUCAUCAACCCUGGAAAUAAAUAAAUAAGUGAAUAAAUACAA